GGGUAUAGCUCAGUGGUAGAGCACGUGCUUAGCAUGCACGAGGUCCUAGGCUCAAUCCCCAGUAUAGCCA
rnacentral:tRNA from 1 species